rnacentral:rRNA from 1 species
UACGAAGGGGGUAAGCGUUGUUCGGAAUUACUGGGCGUAAAGGGCUCGUAGGCGGCCAACUAAGUCAGACGUGAAAUCCCUCAGCUUAACUGGGGAACUGCGUCUGAUACUGGAUGGCUUGAAUUCGGGAGAGGGAUGCGGAAUUCCAGGUGUAGCGGUGAAAUGCGCAGAUAUCAGGAGGAACACCGGUGGCGAAGGCGGGUCUCUGGGCCGAUACUGACGCUGAGGAGCGAAAGCGUGGGGAGCGAACAGG